GGUGACUGAAAGAUAAAGUGAUAGACUUUUAAUCUAUUUAUGAGUAGAACUCCC
rnacentral:tRNA from 1 species